GAUGAACGCUGGCGGCGUGCCUAAUACAUGCAAGUCGAGCGAAUGGAUUAAGAGCUUGCUCUUAUGAAGUUAGCGGCGGACGGGUGAGUAACACGUGGUUAACCUGCCCAUAAGACUGGGAUAACUCCGGGCAACCGGGGCUAAUAGCGGAUAACAUUUUGAACAGCAUGGUUCGAAAUUGAAAGGCGGCUUCGGCUGCCACUUAUGGAUGGACCCGCGUCGCAUUAGCUAGUUGGUGAGGUAGCGGAUCACCAAGGCAACGAUGCGUAGCCGACCUGAGAGGGUGGUCGGCCACACUGGGACUGAGACACGGCCCAGACUCCUACGGGAGGCAGCAGUAGGGAAUCGUCCGCAAUGGACGAAAGUCUGACGGAGCAACGCCGCGUGAGUGAUGAAGGCUUUCGGGUCGUAAAACUCUGUUGUUAGGGAAGAACAAGUGCUAGUUGAAUAAGCUGGCACCUUGACGGUACCUAACCAGAAAGCCACGGCUAACUACGUGCCAGCAGCCGCAGUAA
rnacentral:rRNA from 1 species